GAUAAAAGCCCAAGAGGUCAGAGCUAAGAGCCUUACCCUUCCUGCUUCAGCAAUCCUCUUCAGCCAAGAGAGACCUACUUCCUGUGUGUUUGUCUUUAUAUAGACUUUCUGUUCUGCCUUCUCAU